rnacentral:rRNA from 1 species
UACGUAGGGUGCAAGCGUUUGUCCGGAAUUAUUGGGCGUAAAGAGCUCGUAGGCGGUUUGUUGCGUCGGCUGUGAAAUCCCGAGGCUCAACCUCGGGUCUGCAGUCGAUACGAGCAAACUAGAGUGUUGCAGGGGGAGACUGGAAUUCCUGGUGUAGCGGUGGAAAUGCGCAGAUAUCAGGAGGAACACCGGUGGCGAAGGCGGGUCUCUGGGCAACAACUGACGCUGGAGGAGCGAAAGCGGUGGGGAGCGAACAGG